rnacentral:misc_RNA from 1 species
AAGUCGUAACAAGGUUUCCGUAGGUGAACCUGCGGAAGGAUCAUUAACGAGUUUGAAGUGGGUUUGAUGCUGGCCUGCGUAACACCAGGCAUGUGCUCGCCCCGCUCAUCCACUCAACACCUGUGCACCUUUGAGGCAAUUUGCCCUCCAUUAACUUGGAGCCGUUCCCUUUGCUUUUCACGAGCUGAGGUUGAGCCGGGGCGAAUUGUUUCACUUUACACAUACACCAUUAAAAGUUUAGUAGAAUGUAACCGCCGUUAAGGCAAAAACUUAAUACAACUUUCAACAACGGAUCUCUUGGCUCUC